rnacentral:rRNA from 1 species
GCGGUGGAUCAUGUUGUUUAAUUCGAUGAUACGCGAAGAACCUUACCAGGUCUUGACAUCCCCCGCGAUGCUUUAGAGAUAAAGCGGAGGUAUUCGGGGAGACAGGUGGUGCAUGGUUGUCGUCAGCUCGUGUCGUGAGAUGUUGGGUUAAGUCCCGCAACGAGCGCAACCCCUAUUGCUAGUUACCAUCAUUAAGUUGGGGACUCUAGCGAGACUGCCAGUGAUAAACUGGAGGAAGGUGGGGGUGACGUCAAAUCAUCAUGCCCCUUAUGACCUGGGCUACAAACGUGAUACAAUGGCUGGAACAAAGGGAUGCGAAGCAGUGAUGUGGAGCGAAACCCAUAAAAACAGUCUCAGUUCGGAUUGAAGUCUGCAACUCGACUUCAUGAAGUCGGAAUCGCUAGUAAUCGCGGAUCAGAACGCCGCGGUGAAUACGUUCUCGGGGUUU